UAGAGCUUUAGGCACACAAUGUAGCGCUGCUCGUCCUGUGCUGGGGGAGGCGUGUGGAGGGGACGGGUAGGCCAGCCCACCUGGACGCGCAGAUAUCUGAUCCAGGAACGGUUACUGAAGGGAUCAUCCUUUUCGCAUUGCACUUCAAUGAACCAUUUAUUAUAAACCAG